rnacentral:rRNA from 1 species
AUUGAACGCUGGCGGAAUGCUUUACACAUGCAAGUCGAACGGCAGCACGGACUUCGGUCUGGUGGCGAGUGGCGAACGGGUGAGUAAUGUAUCGGAACGUGCCCAGUCGUGGGGGAUAACGUAGUGAAAAUUACGCUAAUACCGCAUACGAUCUAUGAAUGAAAGCGGGGGAUCGCAAGACCCCGCGCGAUUGGAGCGGCCGAUAUCAGAUUAGGUAGUUGGUGGGGUAAAGGCCCCCCAAGCCAACGAUCUGUAGCUGGUCUGAGAGGACGACCAGCCACACUGGAACUGAGACACGGUCCAGACUCCUACGGGAGGCAGCAGUGGGGAAUUUUGGACAACGGGCGAAAGCCUGAUCCAGCCAUUCCGCGUGCAGGAUGAAGGCCCUCGGGUUGUAAACUGCUUUUGUACAGAACGAAAAGGUUUCUACUAAUACUAGGAGCUCAUGACGGUACUGUAAGAAUAAGCACCGGCUAACUACGUGCCAGCAGCCGCGGUAA